UGGGGAAUCUUGGACAAUGGGCGCAAGCCUGAUCCAGCCAUGCCGCGUGGAUGAUGAAGGCCUUAGGGUUGUAAAAUCCUUUCGCCGAGGACGAUAAUGACGGUACUCGGAGAAGAAGCUCCGGCUAACUUCGUGCCAGCAGCCGCGGUAAUACGAAGGGGGCUAGCGUUGUUCGGAUUUACUGGGCGUAAAGCGCGUGUAGGCGGGUCGUUAAGUUGGGGGUGAAAUCCCGAGGCUCAACCUCGGAACUGCCUUCAAAACUGGCGACCUGGACCUAAGUAGAGGCAAGUGGAAUUGCGAGUGUAGAGGUGAAAUUCGUAGAUAUUCGCAGGAACACCAGUGGCGAAGGCGACUUGCUGGACUUAUGGUGACGCUGAGACGCGAAAGCGUGGGGAGCAAACAGGAUUAGAUACCCUUGUAGUCCCUGAGCGGGCUGGCAAGGCGCAU
rnacentral:rRNA from 1 species